rnacentral:rRNA from 1 species
GUCUACGGCCAUACCACCCUGAAUGCACCUGAUCUCACCUGCUCUCAGAAACUAAGCAAAGUGGGGCCUGGCUAGUUCUUGGAUGGGAGAAACACUCUAGGCACAUAAGAAACCUGAUAGGGAUAAUCU